CCCUUAGAUGUCCUGGGCCGCACGCGCGCUACACUGACAUGUUCAACAAGCCUCCUAGUUCGACAGGAUUUGGGAAAUCUUUGAACGCAUGUCGUGAUAGGGAUAGAUCAUUGCAAUUAUUGAUCUUGAACGAGGAAUUCCUAGUAAACGCGAGUCAUCAGCUCGCAUUGAUUACGUCCCUGCCCUUUGUACACACCGCCCGUCGCACCUACCGAUUGGAUGGUCCGGUGAAGCCUCGGGAUUGUGGCGGUUGCCUUUAUUGGUGUCCGCCGCGAGAACUUGUCUAAACCUUAUCAUCUAGAGGAAGGUGAAGUCGUAACA
rnacentral:rRNA from 1 species